GUCAACUAAGGCAGUUGUUUGAUUAAUUCAAUAGACAUUUGUCUAUUUAACAUGAACAUAUUGAGUUUAGGUUUUUAAAUCAUUAUCAGUUGUUGGUUUAACAUAAAAUAACAAAAAGUUUAAUGAACUAGAUUUGCAUUCUUCAGUUCAAUUAAAUGUAAUUAUUUUAAAUCAACAACUCUAAAACCGAUGCCUAGUGCGCAUGCUCAAACUUCCCAAAAGUGAAGAGGCGGGAACGCGGAGAAGUUAUAUGUGUUCAGUGGACUGCCAUUUCCCUCUGCGGAAUCUUCCACAAUACAGUAACACCACAAAGAAAGCUGACCCCUUUUUCUGAUUGUUUGUGCCUCCUCUUUAAUACAUGUGACUUGUAUGUGGCAGUGCAAGCGUUGUUCCAUCAGGGAGAGUAGUAGAUUGAGAAGGAGUUUCUGCGAAUCACCACAAAGCCUCUGCUAUCUACUUUCUUUGCCGAGCUUGACCAAUACGCGGCACGCUUAAUGGAAAUCUUUCUGACCAAAGGAGGGACACGUGGAAAGAAAAUAAGAGGUCUCAUGCUUGCCAUCUCCAAGCAUGACAACAUCCAUACCAGACGAGCAUGCAUCUUGAAGUCUUUGUGCAUCCACCUAAACGAAGACUAUGAGAAGUUAAUAAAGGAGUACUUGGAUACGGACAGCGAGGCAAAAAGCUGCAUGGAGCAAACUGUGAUGGGGGUGUACGUCAUCCAGAAGGAGGGUGCUGAACCUGAAGAUGACCCAGAGGACGUUGGUGUCGUGAUUGAGGGUGUGGAGGCUAACACUGAUUUGGGUAACAUUGCACAAGCAUGUGCUCUGUUGUUUGGACUCAUAUACCGUUUGAACCUGAGCUACCCACCAGAACUUAAAUGCACCUUUGAAGUCCUCCAGAAGAUACUUUUAAAUCUUGAUGGACAAAAGCUGUCUUCAAAGGUACAGUUUCUGAAAAACAAGCUUAUGGGGUGAGAGCACUUGAAAAUGACUGAUAGGUCUUGAAUGGUUCAUUGGUGCAAUGGUGAUUUCCAAUAUAUAAUGUUAAUAUUUGAGUUGUUUAUAUUUUUUUCUUUCAUUUAAAACAUUUUUUUUUUAAGUUUUUGGAUUCUCUCUGUUGGGCAAUUCACCUUUUAUACAGCACUGCAGAUGAUUUUUGUUUGUCCUUAUAUAGAUGGCUCAAAAUGGAUCAGAAGUACUGACAGAAGUACUAUGUUGUGUUUAUGUAUCAAGGUCCUGUAAAGUUUAAGACCACUGCCACCUGUUAAGUUCACUGUAUUAUUGUUUCCAUUUUGCUUGCUAGCAUGUUUUAAAACACAGCAAAACUAUAUUGCUAGCUGUGGAGGACUGCAACCAAAA